rnacentral:tRNA from 1 species
GGAGGUGAAUGGAGUCUGGUGACUCCCCUGGUCUUCAAAACCAGUGAGCCGGUUAACCCCGGCUGGUGGGUUCGAUUCCCAUCCACCUCCGCCA